UACGGAGGGUGCAAGCGUUAUCCGGAUUCACUGGGUUUAGAGGGUGCGUAGGUGGGCAGGUAAGUCAGUGGUGAAAUCUCCGGGCUUAACUCGGAAACUGCCAUUGAUACUAUCUGUCUUGAAUACCGUGGAGGUCAGCGGAAUAUGUCAUGUAGCGGUGAAAUGCUUAGAUAUGACAUAGAACACCAAUUGCGAAGGCAGCUGGCUACACGAAUAUUGACACUGAUGCACGAAAGCGUGGGGAUCAAACAGG
rnacentral:rRNA from 1 species